rnacentral:snRNA from 1 species
UUGCUUCAGCAGCACAUAUGCUGAAAUUGGAAUGAUGCAGAGAAGAUUAAUAUGGCUCCUGCACAAGGAUGACAUGCACAUUCAUGAAGCAUUCCAUAUUUUU